rnacentral:rRNA from 1 species
AUUGAAUGCUGGCGGCAUGCCUUACACAUGCAAGUCGAACGGCAGCACGGGAGCAAUCCUGGUGGCGAGUGGCGAACGGGUGAGUAAUAUAUCGGAACGUGCCCAGUCGUGGGGGAUAACGUAGCGAAAGCUACGCUAAUACCGCAUACGAUCUAUGGAUGAAAGCGGGGGAUCGCAAGACCUCGCGCGAUUGGAGCGGCCGAUAUCAGAUUAGGUAGUUGGUGAGGUAAAGGCUCACCAAGCCGACGAUCUGUAGCUGGUCUGAGAGGACGACCAGCCACACUGGGACUGAGACACGGCCCAGACUCCUACGGGAGGCAGCAGUGGGGAAUAUUGGACAAUGGGCGAAAGCCUGAUCCAGCAAUGCCGCGUGAGUGAUGAAGGCCU